rnacentral:rRNA from 1 species
UGUCAGCCGCCGCGGUAAUACGGAGGGUGCAAGCGUUGUCCGGAUUUAUUGGGUUUAAAGGGUGCGUAGGCGGUUUAUUAAGUCAGUGGUGAAAGACGGUCGCUCAACGAUUGCAGUGCCAUUGAUACUGGUAGACUUGAGUAUGAUUGAGGUAGCUGGAAUGGAUAGUGUAGCGGUGAAAUGCAUAGAUAUUAUCCAGAACACCAAUUGCGUAGGCAAGUUACUAAGUCAUAACUGACGCUGAGGCACGAAAGUGUGGGUAUCAAACAGGAUUAGAAACCCCGGUAGUCC